rnacentral:tRNA from 1 species
GCUUCGGUAGUUUAACAAAACAUUAGCCUGUGGAACUAAAAAUGGGACACCACGCCCCCGCAGCC